rnacentral:misc_RNA from 1 species
CACAGGAACACCAGUGGCAGGUACAUUUUGGGCAUGGAUCAAUGGUUGCCACAUGGUAGGGCUUCAACCGAUUGCAAUAAUUUUAGCAUCACUAUCAUACUCAACGUGUUUGUUCAUUGCCCUAACAUCCAGAGCUAACAGAAAGAGCACUGCCUAUUGCAAACCAAUUGCCAUUAGUUUUAGUUUUGGUGUGACUACCCACAAUACGACCUAUACUUGGCAAGCGACAGCUAAAAAAUACUUUGUAAGGCAAUACAAAAUUAAGGUGUCAAGGAUAUUGCUCCUCUCAUUGCUGUUGCAGUACCAAAUUGCUGUUGCAGUGUCAAGGAUA